rnacentral:lncRNA from 1 species
UUUGAUACAAUGCAGAAAGAACUUUAAGUUGGAGCUGAUGAUGUUGAAGCAUUUGCUACUGACACAGUAAGAACUAAAAUAAUCUACUGAAAAAUUGAUCAGAAAAAAGUAGUUGUCAGUCAUGGCAUACAUCGGACAUUUGGAAAACAGCAGUGGCAGCAACUGUAAGACACCCUUAAUGCCUGGAAACAAACUCUGAACAAAUUGAAAAACGGCCUUUUGAGUCUUUCUGAUACC